rnacentral:rRNA from 1 species
GACGAACGCUGGCGGCGUGCCUAAUACAUGCAAGUAGAACGCUGAAGGAGGAGCUUGCUUCUCCGGAUGAGUUGCGAACGGGUGAGUAACGCGUAGGUAACCUGCCUGGUAGCGGGGGAUAACUAUUGGAAACGAUAGCUAAUACCGCAUAACAGUAGAUAUUGCAUGAUAUCUGCUUGAAAGGUGCAAUUGCAUCACUACCAGAUGGACCUGCGUUGUAUUAGCUAGUUGGUGAGGUAACGGCUCACCAAGGCGACGAUACAUAGCCGACCUGAGAGGGGGAUCGGCCCAACUGGGACUGAGAACCGGCCCAGACUCCUACGGGAGGCAGCAGUAGGGAAUCUUCGGCAAUGGACGGAAGUCUGACCGAGCAACGCCGCGUGAGUGAAGAAGGUUUUCGGAUCGUAAAGCUCUGUUGUAAGAGAAGAACGAGUGUGAGAGUGGAAAGUUCACACUGUGACGGUAUCUUACCAGAAAGGGACGGCUAACUACGUG